UGGGGAAUAUUGGACAAUGGGCGAAAGCCUGAUCCAGCCAUGCCGCGUGUGUGAAGAAGGUCUUCGGAUUGUAAAGCACUUUAAGCUGGGAGGAAGGGCAGUAAGCGAAUACCUUGCUGUUUUGACGUUACCGACAGAAUAAGCACCGGCUAACUCUGUGCCAGCAGCCGCGGUAAUACAGAGGGUGCAAGCGUUAAUCGGAAUUACUGGGCGUAAAGCGCGCGUAGGUGGUUCGUUAAGUUGAAUGUGAAAGCCCCGGGCUCAACCUGGGAUCUGCAUCCAAAACUGGCGAGCUAGAGUAGGGCAGAGGGUGGUGGAAUUUCCUGUGUAGCGGUGAAAUGCGUAGAUAUAGGAAGGAACACCAGUGGCGAAGGCGACCACCUGGGCUCAUACUGACACUGAGGUGCGAAAGCGUGGGGAGCAAACAGG
rnacentral:rRNA from 1 species